rnacentral:rRNA from 1 species
UACGGGGGGGGCAAGCGUUGUUCGGAAUUACUGGGCGUAAAGGGCUCGUAGGCGGCCAACUAAGUCGGAUGUGAAAUCCCCAGGCUUAACCUGGGAACUGCAUCCGAUACUGGAUGGCUUGAAUCCGGGAGAGGGAUGCAGAAUUCCAGGUGUAGCGGUGAAAUGCGUAGAUAUCUGGAGGAAUACCGGUGGCGAAGGCGUCAUCCUGGACCGGCAUUGACGCUGAUGAGCGAUAG